AUGUGAGAUGACAAAAAGUCAGCAGCCUGCAACUGGAAAGAGGACUCACUGGAACUCAGCCAUCCUGGCACCCUGAUCUUGGACUCCAAGCCUUCAGAACUCACGUCAGGUCUACUUUUCUAGAGGAAGAGAGUGAGAAGAUCUGGACUACAAAGCUAUAAACACCUGCCUUGAUCAUCAGUUACAGAUUCUUUUCUGUUGUAGGUUAUUUCCAGAUAUUGAAUAAAGUUCCCUGUACUAUAUGAUUCUCCCAGAUCAGAAUUUAUACUUGCUACUUUGAAGAUUUGGAUUUUAAUUCACUUACAAUCCCAAAGACAAGUGGGAUGACAGGGGUGGAGAAUAGGACAACUGCCAUCUAUGUUCAAGGUAACUACCUCAGCCCUACAUUGCCUGUUAUUUCUAAGGAUCCUUUUCUGGAUGAAGUGAAUAAUAAAAUGGGGACAAAAGAAUAGAUCCAAGGAGGAUAGCUUCAAGAUGACAGAGGAGUAAGACAUGGAGAUCACCUUCGUCCCCACAAAUAUAUCAAAAAUACAUCUACACGUGGAACAGCUCCUACAGAACACAUACUGAGCACUGGCUGAAGACCUCAGACUACCCAAAAGGCAAGAAACUCCUCAUGUAGCUGGGUAGGGAAAAAGAAAAAGAAAAAAACAAAGACAAAAGAAUAGAGACAGGACCUGAACCUCUGGGAGGGAGUUGUGAAGGAGGAAAAGCUUCCACACACUAGAAAUCCCCUUCACUGGCAGAGAUUGCAGGUGGGUGGGGGUGGGGGGAGCUUCAGAGCCACAGUGGAGAGUGCAGCAACAGGGGUGCAGAGAGCAAAGUGGAGAGAUUACCGCACAGAAGAUCGGUGCUGACCAGUUCUCACAAACCUGAGAGGCUUGCCUGUUCACCUGCCAGGGCGGGAGUGGGGCAGGGGCUGGGAGCUAGGGCUCUGGCUUUGGAGGUAAGAUCCCAGGGAGAGGACUGGGGUUGGCAGCAUGAAUACAGCCAUAAGGAGGCUAGUGCACCAUAGCUAGCCAGGAGAGAGUCUGGGAAAAAGUCUGGAACUGCAGAAGAGGAAAGAGACUUUUUCUUGCCUCUUUGUUUUGUGGGGUGCGAGGAGAGGGGAUUAAGAGCACCGCCUAAACGAGCUCCAGAGACUGGCACAAGCCAUGGAUCUCAGCGCAGACACCAGCAAUGGGCAUGAAACACUAAUGUUGCUGCUGCAGCCAACAAGAAGUCUGUGUGCAAGCAGAGGCUACUAUCCACAUCUCCCCUCACAGAAGACUGUGUAGCCCACAACUACCAGGGUCCCAUGAUCCAGUGACAAAUUCCCUGGGAGAACACACGGCAUACCUCAGGCAGUUGCAAUGUCAUGCUGGCCACUGCCUCCACAGGCUCACCCAACAUUUUGUACACCUCCCUCCCCCUGGCCUGAGUGAGCCAGAGCUCAUGAAUCAGCUGCCAUUUUAACAGCGUCCUGUCUAGGAAAAGAACAGUUGCCCUCAGGUGACCUGUAGAUAGAGGCGAGGCCAAAACCAAACCUGAACUCCAGGAGCUGUGCGAACAAAGAAGAGAAAGGAAAAUCGCUAUCAGCAGCCUCAGGAGCAGCCUAUUAAAUCUCCACAAUCAAACUGAUGGACCCUACAUCUGUGGAAUACCUGAAUAGGCAACAAAUCAUGCCAAAAUUGAGGCGGUGGACUUUUGGAUCAACUGUAAACUUGGGGUGUGCUUUCUGCAUCUAAUUUGUUUCUGGUUUUAUGUUUAUCUUAGUUUAGUAUUUAGAGUUUAUUAUCAUUGGUACAUUUGUUUAUUGAUU